rnacentral:tRNA from 1 species
GUUAAGAUGGUCGAGUGUUUAAAGUAUCAGUUUUAGGUACCGAACUGAAAGGGCAUUGGUUCAAAUCCCAUUUUUGACA